UUAAGUUCAGCGGGUAUCCCUACCUAAUCCGAGGUCAAUCAUUAUAAAGUGGGGGGUUAUGGCAAGCACUCCCAGGGCUCCAUAGCGAUGUGUUUACUACGCUCAGAGCCUGAGAGCACCGCCACUGAUUUUAAGGGCUGCCUUUACAGCAGGCCCCAACACAAGCCAGGCUUGAAGGGUGAUAAUGACGCUCGAAUAGG
rnacentral:misc_RNA from 1 species